CACGCAGGCGGUCUUGCCAGUCAGGGGUGAAAGCCCGAGGCUCAACCUCGGAACUGCCUCUGAUACUGUAAGACUUGAGACUAGGAGAGGGUGGUGGAAUUCCCAGUGUAGAGGUGAAAUUCGUAGGUAUUGGGAGGAACACCAGAGGCGAAGGCGGCCACCUGGACUAGAUCUGACGCUCAGGUGCGAAAGCGUGGGGAGCAAACA
rnacentral:rRNA from 1 species